rnacentral:sRNA from 1 species
UGUCUCUGUAUCAUAAUGUUUUCAUUAAAGACACAAUUUUUGAUUUAUGCAUAUUGUACAAACUGUCUGUAUUAUACAUUUUGAUGUACAAUGCUGAUCUAUAUGUACAGAUUUUGAUUUAUACCUGUAGUUUACCUACAUUUGAUCAUGGUUUGUUUUUAGACUUUUCAGUAAUGCCUACAAACUUUAAUUUGAGGAAAUUUUAUAUGAAGAAUUAAGAUACAUGUAAUUUUUACUUUCAUUUGCUUUUUACAAACCUUCAUGUUUUAAUUUUUAAAAUAAGUUUUAUGAAGAACAAAUAUAUUUAACAAUUGUGGGGCAUUGUUUAAUAAUUAUAUUUUAAAAUCAUGUAGAAAUAAUGCCUAGCUUAUUUCUCAACAACAUAAUUGUUAACAAUUAAUACAGACUGAUUAAUAACAUGUGCGAUACUUAUAAAUAUUCAUGGUUACACAACUUCGUAUUAAAAUUGCUGAAGCUGUU